rnacentral:ribozyme from 1 species
CGCCAGCGAUGGGUUUGCACUUCUACGCAGUGCUGGCGACCAGUACCACUUGAAGUUUUAUGCUUCAUGGGGGAAGCUAGGACAAGC